GGCGGCGUAGCUCAGAUGGUUAGAGCGACGGACUCAUAACCCGUAGGUCGGCAGUUCGAUUCUGCCCGCCGCCA
rnacentral:tRNA from 1 species